rnacentral:misc_RNA from 1 species
GUAUUUUGUUUCUUUCUGCCCUCGCGAGCAUACUUGAUAAAAUGACAUUCUAAUGACAUACAAAUGGUUUGUAAAAAACAUAGAGACCCUUUCGGGUCCCUACCAAGUGUGCACAGGGGUGAAGAAUUGGAUAAUUAGAGAACGUGCACAUGUCCCGAAAGACCAGCACUGGACUCCUCAAAUCGUUAAUGAUCCUUCCGCAGGUUCACCUACGGAAA